rnacentral:rRNA from 1 species
CGAAGGUGCAAGCGUUACUCGGAAUCACUGGGCGUAAAGCGCACGUAGGCGGACUCGUAGGUCAAUUGUGAAAUACCUGGGCUCAACCCGGGAACUGCAGUUGAAACCGCUUGUCUUGAAUACCUGAGAGGGUGGGGGAAUACCUGGUGGAGAAGUGAAAUUCGUAGAGAUCAGGUGGAACACCGGAGGCGAAGGCGCCUGCCUGGCAGUGUAUUGACGCUGAGGUGCGAAAGUGCGGGGAGCAAACAGGAUU